rnacentral:rRNA from 1 species
AACGAACGCUGGCGGCAUGCCUAACACAUGCAAGUCGAACGAACCCUUCGGGGUUGGUGGCGCACGGGUGCGUAACACGUGGGAAUCUGCCCUUUGCUUCGGAAUAACAGUUAGAAAUGACUGCUAAUACCGGAUAAUGUCGCAAGACCAAAGAUUUAUCGGCAAAGGAUGAGUCCGCGUAGGAUUAGCUUGUUGGUGGGGUAAUGGCCCACCAAGGCGACGAUCCUUAGCUGGUCUGAGAGGAUGAUCAGCCACACUGGGACUGAGACACGGCCCAGACUCCUACGGGAGGCAGCAGUGGGGAAUAUUGGACAAUGGGCGAAAGCCUGAUCCAGCAAUGCCGCGUGAGUGAUGAAGGCCCUAGGGUUGUAAAGCUCUUUUACCAGGGAUGAUAAUGACAGUACCUGGAGAAUAAGCUCCGGCUAACUCCGUGCCAGCAGCCGCCGUAAAAC